GCGCCCACCCGCGCGCGCCCACCCGCGCGCGCCCCGCGGCGGUGCCUGGAGCGCGGGGGCCCUCUCCUCCGUGGAGUCCCCCCCAAGCAACCCCCAAACACACGCUCGUGAAAACACGGUGACCUGCGGCUGCGGCGGUCACCUGGAACCCGAGUUGCGGGGCUCGCUCUCGAAGAGGUGCUUUCCAGGUACCUCGGGGAGAAGCGCUCGUCUCGGCAGACCUUCCCCCAAGUCUCCGCCCGCGGGGCACCCUCCGCCAGUGCCUCUUCUUAUGGUCAGCGCGGCCGAGAGCGACCUAAAAGCCUUCUCCGCGUGCCCUCGAGAUGGCUCAACAAGUGGCGGGCCCGUGCGGCGGCGAGAGCCGCCUUUCACGCCGCGCGCGCACCCACAUCGAGCGGACUGAGGCGUGAGAGGGGUUUUCGGGACGGGUAGGAGCGCUGACUCCCAGCACCCACAUCAUGCAGCUCGCAACCCUCUGCAGCCCCAGUUCCAGGGGCUCUGAUGCCCUCUGCUGACCUCCUCGGGCUCGGGGCACACGCACGGGCCCUACACGCAAACAUGCAGGCAGUUCAACCGUACGCACAGAAUAAGUAUUUUCUACCCCGGCUGCACAGCGUCGUCUAACUUUAAAUCGCACCAGGAGCUGGCUUUCUCUCGAGAGAUGCAAGCCCUGCUUGAUUUAACUCCAAGUCUCCCCUGCUCCCCGCCCCCCUCUCUUCAAAGUGGCUUUGUUUUGAGACACCACAUACUUUGGAAAACUGGAGACCUGAGGUGGCGACAACCCAGGACUCUCAGCCAUUGAAUAGGACAAUCGAAGCUUUAUUCCAGUGUUCUUUGAGCGCUUGAGCCUGAAGCUGCUUCCACUAAAAAGGACUCACGUGGAUAUCACGUAACAAAGAUGAGAUUAAUGACAGAAAAGCACGCUUCGAGCGGACUGCCUCCUGAGCCAGAUGCCUGGGUAGGAAGAAUUGCUCCUUAAAACAUGACAUUGGCAGAGUGCUGAGGUAGGGACUCUGGCCCUCCAAGGCUGUGUGCUGAGAUCACCUUUCGGAGGAAAAAGGAGCCCGUUUGGAGGUGAGGAUUGCGGAGGACUUCCAGCUGCGCGCGCAGAUGCAGACUCAGCUUAGAGGAGGGGGCGCCUUUGACCUCUUGCAGAUUUGAUUGAAGAGGGGGUGUCCGGCGGCUCCGUGUCCUCUCGUGGCAGGACCUGGUACUGCAGCUUCGCUAAGCCGACACGUUCACCACCUAAAAGCCUGGUUUGGGAAGUUCGGAGCGGGUAGUUGGAAAGGAUCUGAACCUUCAGCCUUCCUAGGGACAGGUGUUGGGAUUUGUUGGAAGCAAAGAGUAGCGAGUCCUUGUUCUAGAGUUGCAGAGCGUGGCCCUCGUCUGGAUAAACGACUCAGACAAAAAGCAGUGGUACAUACCGAAACUCCAAUAGCUCUGCUGUAAUUGCCUCUUCCUUCAUGUAGGCAAUUAAACUGUAGUAUCUUCCCUGAGAGCCAUUCUUGGGAGUAUCUUUUCUGGAUAUGACCUAAGUAGGGGAUAAGACAUAGGUUAAAGCUAAGUAAAGACUGAAUUAAUGAUUAAAUGGCAUAGAGUGGUGGUUAAAAGAGUUCAAAGGUCAGAAGGUGGAAGCAGCCUGGACUAUGAAAUGAGAUCAUUUUUGAAAAAAAUAAAGCCUGGCAUAAUGGUGCAGGCCUUUACUCUCAGCAUUCUGGUGGAAAGGCCAAGUAGAUCUCAGUGAAUUCAAGGCCAGCCUCGCCUACACAUGGAGUUCCAGGCCAGCCACGGCAACAUUUUGACACCCAGUUUUUAACGAUGGUGAUAAAAAAGAGUCUAGAGGAAAAAAGAGAUGAGAGAUGUAAGAGCAGCUGGUGGGGGGAGGGUUGAUUGAGACAGGGACUCACUAUGUAGCUAUGAAUGUCCUGAUAUUCGAUAUACAGACCAGGCUGGCCUAGAACUCACAGACAUUGUCCUGCCUCUGCCUCCUGAGUGUUAUGGUUAAAGUUGUGAACCACCAUGCCCAGCUGUAAUUUUUUAACAGAAGGCAUCUCAGGAACAAUUCUAACUUCCUCAGAAAAUAAUUAAGGUUUAGUCUGUGAUAAAAGACUCAGUGAAAAGACUUUCUUAAGACAGAUUCUCCCUCUGUAGCCCAGGCUGGCCUGGAACUCACUAUAUAACUCAGUCUCUGCUGUAGUCUCAGACGCAUGGUAAUCCUCCUACCUCAGCCUUCUGAGCACUGGGUUAUAGGUAUGAGCUGCCUUGCAUUCCACGAAUGGACUAUUUUACAAGGGAAAUGACAUAAACAGAGACAUGGAAAUCAAAUGAAUAAGGUGUAUUCAGGUGACAAAGGAAUUACUCUCCCCAUAGUAAGAGACUUGGUUUUUAGCAAUUAGAUAUAAGGUCAAAUUAAAGAUAUUCAGAGACACAUAAUGUUAAGAUAAACACUAGACCAACAAGGUGAAGGAAAACCAUUGAACAAAUUUACUUUACUGAAGGGUACAUUUCUCCAUUUCUUCUCCCUCACUGUAUGCAUGCACACACACUGAUUCCAAAGAAUAGUAGCCUCUUUGUUGUUGUGUUAAUAAGAGUACCAGAGACUAACCUCAAGCUGAGGAUGACCUUGAACUCCUAAGCCUCAAGGUGGCUGGAAUUAUAGGCAUGGGCCACAAUGCCUAGCAAAGAAUAUAAACUUUUAAAGCAUAAGAUAAGAGAACAUGAAAAAAUAUGUAUAAGAUGUAGACUCAGAAUUGUAAGAUUCUCAUGAAAAAUAUUCAGUGAAGACCUGAUUGGAGUGACUCGCUAUAUUCGGGCUUGAAGAAUCAGUAUAGUAAUGUUAAACAGUAUCCUGAAGAUCCCAGUUCUUCCCCAAAACAGCCCGCAAAAUUAAAACAGUUCCAGCAAAAUCCCAGGAAGGGUUAACAAAAAAGCUUACCCAGGAAUAAUGCCCACACACAGAGGAUUAAGUUAGUGCUGGAUUCCCCAAAGGCCAACAACUCAUAUUCCUAGGAUACCAACAAAACUUUGGGGCUCCAACAUAUUACAAUCAGAUAACAUAAAAGAAACCAUUUCACUUCAGUACAUGUCAGUUUAGUAUUAUUUUUAGCAUAAACUAGGAGCACCCAGCCAAGUACAGCGGUGCACGCCUAUAAUCCCAGCACUUGGGGAGACAAAGGCAGGUGGAUCUCUGUGAGUUUGAGGCCAGCCUGGUCUACAAAGUGAGUCUAGGACAGCCAAGGCUAUUCAGAGAAACCCUGUCUCAAAAAUAAAAAAAUAAAAUAAAAUAAAAAAGCACCAAAAUAUUUAGUUGGAAUUAAAGAUGGAAAGCUAUGACAUAUACCUGUUUUUCAAAAAAGUCAAGACAGGAGGAUUUCGAGAGUUUUAAGCCAGCAUGAGCUUCAUAAGGAGACCCCAUCUCAGGAAGAAAAAAGAAGGAAGAAAGCAAGAAAGAAAGAAAGAAAGAAAGAAAGAAAGAAAGAAAGGAAAAAAUACUACUUUUUUUUUUUCAAUGUUCUGGUUGGCCUGGGACCAAUGAGGAGAUAAUGGAUCUCUAAAGUUUGUCUUCUUGUCUCCACACAUAACAUGUGGCAUAUAUGUGCACACACUCACCACACCCGUUUAAGGGACUGUGGCAAGAGCAUUGAAAGUUAGAAGCCAACAAACGUAUGCUGCAAAGAGAGACCCUGUCUCAAGCAAUAACCAAACAAACAACAAAGCCUAGUGAAACUGUCCCGUUCACAAAGAUGGCCUCUGCAAGACUAUCAAGUCUGUCUUUGGCUUAACAAGGAACUGGCAGAGGGUGUUUUACAGAAAGCAGUCUUGCAGUGGGAAGAUGUCAGUGAGUUUUAAAUAAAAAGAAUGAAAACAAUGGAAAGGACAAGACACCAUUCUUUCAAAAAGCUUGAGAAAAAUAAAACAAGAUAAUGUCCAGUAAAACAUUAUGUAGGUGUAGAACAUUUAGACUCUACAAAGUCAUAAUGAUCUGAUAGGCUAUCUCAGGUUCAUCUUGAUCCUGUUACUAUUCUGUGGGGUUUUUGUAUGUAUGUUUGUUUUUGCACGUAUUUAUAUAAUAGGAGUGAGCCAUGGUACACUUCUAAAGGUUAGAGAGUAACUUGCCAAAUCACCAUCAACGGUGUGGGUUAUGGUCAAACUCAGGUCAUCAGGCUUUGUGGUACACACCUUUACCUGCUGAGCCGUCCCACCAGCCAAGCUUCAUUUGUUUGUUGUUGUUUUGUUUUGUUUUGUUUUUGUUGUUAUUUUGAGACAGAAUCUCACUCUGUAGCCCAGGCUGGCCUGGAAUUUCGUUGAUCCUGCUGUCUAAGCCUCCAGAGUGUUGGCACUAUAGGCAUGAGCCACUAUGACUGGCCUCCCAAGCUUUAUUUUCACAACUAUUUAGAGUCUGGAUUUGGGGUUCUUGUCAUGAGCAUUUCUGACAAGUGCAAUAGAACAGUAAAGAUUUAAAAAUAUACUUUUUAACAUUUUUUAAAGUAAAGUGCUGAAAAGCACCUUUUCUCUUUUUAUGAUCUCACUUCCCAACUACUGGAAUUGCAGAUAUGCACCAACACAUCUCCUAACCGCCGUAAGAGCUAAGUGUUGUCUUAUUUCCUAUGUGUUUUUAUUUUGUUGAUUUAUGAGAGGGGGCUGGCUUUGUAGCACAGGUUAUCCUCAGACUCAUGUAACCUAGGCUGGCCUCAAACUUGUGGUCAUCCUGCCUCAGCUUCCCCAAUGCUGGGAAUACAGAUAUGUGUCACAGUACACAGCUUAUUUUUAUGAUUUUACAUUGAAAGAAAAAGAGACUGGGAAAAGUUAAGAGCUCAUGCAAGGACACAUAAGUGGUAAAGAAUGUAGAGCUCAGCCCAUGGGACCAUUUUUCUGAGAAGAUAAAAUACAGAAUAUACGUUCCAAAUGACACUGACUCAAUAUCACUUCUCUUGGAAUACACUUCGGUGGAGCUCCUGACUCAGAGGCAAGCUGCAGAGGCUGGGGAAGAAGAGCCUGUUGAGAUGGAGCUGGAAACAGCCAUCUACAAACUCCAGGGUGGUAUGAGGGAAAAUUAGAAGCUAGUUAGCACCAAGCUUAGAGUUAACUUAGAGUUAAAUCCUGCACCAAGUAAAGCACCGAGUAUGGUGUGUGACAGCAUAUUAAUGACCACAUUCUAUUCCUUCCGCCUUAGCAAACCUUAUGUGGAACCGACCUAGAUCAUGACCCACAUGAACUGGGGUAAAGAGAAUGAGGAAGCUCAUUCCAGGAAGAGAAAACAAGUACAGCUGGAGAAACAGAGGGAAAGUGUGUUGAAACAGCCUUUGACUUCAUGAGUAUAAAGGCUGGAAAACAGUUUAGAGUUAGAUUACAUUAGGACCCAGCCAAAGAAUUUACAUGUUGUAAGUAACUGGAAAUGAUAGGAAUUUUUUUAUCAUAAAAUUAUAUAUAUAUAAUUAUUAUAAUAUAUUGUAUUACAUAAUAAUGUAUUAUAAUGUAUAAUAUAAAAUAUUAUAUAAUAAUACAAAUGUUAUUGUGACUAUAUCAUAUAUUAUCAUGUCUUAUAAAAUAAUAAAAGAAAAUAAAACCCUU